GAAAUGUAGAUGAGAAGCAUGCGAAAGUGAAUGAAUACAAGUCCAAGGGAGACGUCGGGGAUGGGAAAGUUCAGUAUGGAGGCACCACUGAUGAAAAAAGGUCACUGGGGAAUGGAUCUAUGGUUGAACCUACCGAUAUGUCAUCAGCAAGUGUGCCCCAGAAUUUGUUACACCCUAGUCAUUCCCUUCCUAUCAAGGUAUCUUCAAUUUCUACCACAAAUGAAAAUAAGGGAGUUAAUAUUAACGGAUCUCAUCAGAUUCAUGGGAAAUCUAGUACAGAUGGGACAGUUU
rnacentral:misc_RNA from 1 species